GCACGGACUUGUCGCCGAGCAUGAUGGUGGCGAUCAGCGCGACCUCGAUGAUGGUCACCGCCAGCGUCAGCAGCAGCGUGCCGUAGGGCUCGCCGAUCCUGUGGGCGAUCACCUCGGCAUGAUGGACAGCGGCAAACACGGUGCCGAACAGAAUGACCAGCAGCACCGCUGCGAAGGCAAACCCUGCCGCUGUAUGACUGAAACCGAUCCCCGGAAUCAUCGUGCUUGCGAACAGCAAAACGGCCAGCGCGGGAUAAACCCAGGCUGACCGCGGCAUG
rnacentral:misc_RNA from 1 species